rnacentral:lncRNA from 1 species
UCGGCGGCAGGGCGGAGCGCGGCAGAGGGCAGGCGCGGCGCCGGCAGGAACGCGGGUGUGUGCCGCGCCAAGCGUCUCUCCAGGCUGCGGGCAGGGAGGGAGAGCGCACCGCGCGACCGGCCGCCACAGUCUGACAGGGGCGCACGGGAGGCCGCGCGGGGAGGGCCGGGGGCGGGCCGAGCCGGCCGAGGCGGGCCCGACGGCCAAGCGGCGGGGCUGCGGCCUGACUGGCGCCGCGUCAUUCGCGUCAACCGGCGACGCUGUGGCAGGCCCCGCCCCUCCGCUGACGGCCGCCGCGCGGGGCGGGGCCUGCCGCCGCCGCCGCCGCCGCCGCCUGAGGGAAGAGGAAGGAGGCCGCGGCUUCGCGUCCCGCCUCUCGCCUGGCUGGCAGUGGGAGGCCUGAACGCGGUUCCCAUGUCCUCCCCGGCGGCCUCUCGAAUCUCCCAGGAAUCCUAAUGUCACCCGAGGAUGCUGGGAGGACCGCUGAGCCGACCUCUCCAUUGGGCUAAAGGCCUGAAUUUUCAAACCCUGGGGUCACAGGGCCGGGAUCAUCGACUUUGGUAACUCCUGGAAACCUGUUGCAGAGCCCUUUGAGAAGCCUGGUUUUUGGUACCUGAAGGGCGCUAGCGUGACAAGGCCCCUAAACGGGGGUUACAGAUGUGGGACUGACUAGCUAGGCUGGCUCUUGCUCUUCUGGCUUUCCCUGAGGCUCGGAACCAGGAACGAGGUUCCAGAUAGCUGAAUUCAACGUUUUCUGUUGUGAGGACUGGCAGUGCACAAGAAGGUCCCCGGCCCCACCCGUAAGCAGCAUAAGGAAAUGUUGAAAAGACUGCCCGGGUCAAUAAACCUGGACGUGGCAAAUUUCAAAGAAAGUAAUUCAAACCCAGACUGCACAAACCAUGAUAAUGGCCAGCAAGGAUGGAGGGAGCGUAUGAGAUAUGCGGGGCAGUGUGCUACGUCUCAGCCAACUCUAGGAGGUAAGUGUGUUUGCUGUGGUAAAAUAUAUAUUUGGUCUUCAUUUCCGUUUUCCUGGCAUACAAUUUCUAAAAUGCUUAGAAUCACCAAAGUGAUGUAUUUUGUAUGCUAAUGAGUUCGCUGUUGAGUGGCAGCCCUUAGGUGGCUUCAGGGUGGAAACUGGUCAUUGUAAAGACCAGGGCAGGAUUAGAGGGCUAGGACUUUCAGCCCCAUCCCUAACCUCCAGGGAGGAGAGAGAAGCUGAUGGAUAACUUGAUCACCAAUGGCCAAUGAUUUAAUCAAUCAUGCCUACGUAAUGAAGCCUCCAUAAAAACCCAAAAAGGACUGUAUGUGGAGAGUUCUAGAUAGUUGAACACGUGGAGGUUCAUGGAGGGUGACGCUUCAGGGUGGGCACCAAAGCUCCAAGCUCGUUCUCCUGUACCUUGCCCUGUACAUCUCUUCAUCUGCAUCCUUUGUCAUAUCCUUUAUAGUAACUGGUUCCCUGAGUUCUGCGAGCCACUCUAUCAGAUUAAUAAACCUAAGAAGGGGGUCA